CCUCGAUCUCCUGACCUCAUGAUCUGCCUGCCUCAGCCUCCCAAAGUGCUGGGAUUACAGGCGUGAGCCACCGUACCCGGCCAGGGCUGUGAUAUUCUGAUCAGCCAGCACUGAGUCACAUGGCCACUAUUAGGGUGAGGGAUGAUAGGCUUAGCUCUGACCUGAAAUUCAUGGAUUGAGGGGUGGGGACUGUUUCCCAGGGGAACACUGGGACAGCGUUACCAGGGGAAGGGGAGUGGGAUAUAGUUGGGCCAAAACAGUAAAUGUCCACGAGGCUUUUUUCCUCUGAGCAGAAAUUUCACUGUGAUGCCAGUCAGGUAUUGCUGCCGUAAGGGCCAUAGCAGGAGGGAGACUGCAAAUCUUGAUUGAGGAGAUCUUAAGAACAGAGUGAUUUACACAGCUGUGGGCAGGAUGUAGGGGAACCCAGAAAGGAUAAUGCACUACCCAGCGGCCAGCGACAGCAGGAGCUAUGAGCACCCCAGGCCUGAAGGUGUGAAGGGCUGAAAUGGUUACCAGAAGCAGGAGAGGGAAGCUUAUGGAGAGAGCAGGCUGGCGGGAGCAGGGGCUGUGAGAGAGACAGCCAGACCGUAGCGGUGUGACAGGCAGAGAGCCAGGCGAUCCAUAUCCUGUCUCCUCUCUCUUCUCCGCUCCUGACUCCUGCUGCGGCCUCCCACUGGCUGGACCCAACAGGAAAGCAGAGGAUAAGAGAAUCUGGUUGGUGCUAUCUAGAAGUCAGUGUUGGGGAGGUCACAGAACAGAAUGGAGAGGGGUAGAGUAUGCAGGGAAGAUAAAUGCAGCCCUGGCAUGGUUCUUCCAGAACAUUCUGCAAGCUCAUGGACCAGUUCAUUUGAGAAGAAAUAGAGGAGUUAGGGGAGAGAGAAGCUUCUUAAUGAAAAUAACCUUGGUAGCUAGUCUCAAGAUUAGCCCCCAGUGCUCCCCACCUGCUGGUAUCCGUUGUACAACACUUCCCACAUUUUUCUGGGGUCGUUUUGUGUAACCAAUAAAAUAUGGCAGAUGCGAUGGCAUGUUACUUCUGAAAUUGGGUUAUAAAAGGUACUGCAGACCGGGCACGGUGGCUUACGCCUGUAAUCCCAGCACUUUGGGAGGCCAAGCCUGGCGGAUCACAAGGUUAGGAGUUCAAGACCAGUCUGGC
rnacentral:lncRNA from 1 species